rnacentral:rRNA from 1 species
GACGAACGCUGGCGGCGUGCUUAACACAUGCAAGUCGAACGCUGAAGCUCAGCUUGCUGGGUGGCUGAGUGGCGAACGGGUGAGUAACACGUGAGUAACCUGCCCUCUUCUUUGGGAUAACGCCCGGAAACGGGUGCUAAUACUGGAUAUUCACUGAUUCUCGCAUGGGGGUUGGUGGAAAGGUUUUUUCUGGUGGGGGAUGGGUUCGCGGCCUAUCAGCUUGUUGGUGGGGUGAUGGCCUACCAAGGCUUUGACGGGUAGCCGGCCUGAGAGGGUGACCGGUCACAUUGGGACUGAGAUACGGCCCAGACUCCUACGGGAGGCAGCAGUGGGGAAUAUAGCACAAUGGGCGAAAGCCUGAUGCAGCGACGCCGCGUGAGGGAUGGAGGCCUUCGGGUUGUAAACCUCUUUCGCUCAUGGUCAAGCCGCAGCUUUGGGUUGUGGUGAGGGUAGUGGGUAAAGAAGCGCCGGCUAACUACGUG